AGUGAACGCUGGCGGUAGGCCUAACACAUGCAAGUCGAACGGCAGCACAGUAAGAGCUUGCUCUUACGGGUGGCGAGUGGCGGACGGGUGAGGAAUACAUCGGAAUCUACUUUUUCGUGGGGGAUAACGUAGGGAAACUUACGCUAAUACCGCAUACGACCUACGGGUGAAAGCAGGGGAUCUUCGGACCUUGCGCGAUUGAAUGAGCCGAUGUCGGAUUAGCUAGUUGGCGGGGUAAAGGCCCACCAAGGCGACGAUCCGUAGCUGGUCUGAGAGGAUGAUAGGCCACAUGGGAACGUGGACACGGUCCAGACUCCUACGGGAGGCAGCAGUGGGGAAUAGUGGACAAUGGGCGCAAGCCUGAUCCAGCCAUACCGCGUGGGUGAAGAAGGCCUUCGGGUUGUAAAGCCCUUUUGUUGGGAAAGAAAAGCAGCAGGUUAAUACCCCGCUGUUCUGACGGUACCCAAAGAAUAAGCACCGGCUAACUUCGUG
rnacentral:rRNA from 1 species